CAUCAUUUAUUAUCUGAAGGACUCAUUAGAAGUGAAGAACAUAAAUGAAUAAAUGAAGGCCUGUCUCUACAGCUGAUGGUGAAGAACCUGAAUCCAGAAUGUGCAAACAAAGAUUUCAUCUGACUAAUUUCAUCAAACAUGAUAUUCUUAAUUUCAUUUUCAGCUGUCAUGGUCUAGGUCGUUGACCCCAAGUUUUGAAUUUGGGAGGUCUUGGGGUUUGUUCUCAUUUCUUUUUCCAUAUCUUUGUAUUAUAAUUCUGUUGUCCUGUUCUAUAGGUUUUUUUUUUUUUGGUUCAUCCUAGGUUAAGAUGAGAUUUGGGUUGGAUCUCCAUAGUCUCCUUCUUUUCUUUUUUCCUGUGCCUCUGAGUUUCAUUAUCUCUAUUUUUGGUUUCUUGUUUGGUUAACUUAGUUUCCCUUUAUUUCCAUUCUGUGUUCCUUAUUAGGUUAGGCAAUGUUUAGUUAUCAUCUUUUGUGUUUCCUUUCUUUCCUCCCUAGUCAGUCCUGUCUUUGUGUGUUUAUUCUCCUGUUGCUCUGUCAAGUUUGUUAUUUCCUGUUUUAUUUUGAUAGUCUUCUGUUUCAUGUGUAUUAUUUUCAGUUUUGCUUCGCCUGUCUCAUCACUCAGAUUAGUGACAGCUGUGUUCCCGCCUGUGGCCCGUCUCCCUGGUUAUCCUCAUUGGCUGUGUCCCAAUUCAGAGACCGCAUGCAUGGAGUAUGCAUUUUGAGACUCCAAAUGUGCCGUCGAUUUCCCCAAACAUCAAGCGUCGUCCGGUGCACGCUUCGUGGUCCCAUAUAUCCCACAAUUCAUAGAGCGGCGGUGGGUGUGGAUAGUUUUGCCGCAAAACACGGCAGACGGCAGAAGCGGAGCGGCCGAAGAGUGAAUAUCAUGUCACUUAUUUAUGUGCGAAUGUUUAAUAAUGAAGAACAUCAAAACAUUACUGUUGGCCACAUGUCGGCAAAGUUAUGUGACAUUAGCGAUGUUUGUACUUUCAGCGUUAACUUGGUUUAGAGCCUUUACUUUAAAAUAUACACCGUUCAACAGUUGACCUUAAUCCUACAGAGAAUGUGAUGAUUUUAUGGAUAAUUAAAGUCAG
ensembl:lncRNA